GUGAGAAGAAGCUCCUUGGCCUCUUCUCACUUCCAUCAAGCCCAAAGAGAACGUGAUAGGCCUUACCUGUUCACAUGGAGGGACUUCAGGAGCUGUUAACUGCAGCUGUUGCCAGGGAGAGAGGAUCUCAGUGGCUGCAGGCACAGCGGCAGGCUGCUGGGGCCAUCCCAGGAGGCAGCGGCAUUGAGGAGCAGCCGGUGGAGGAGGUAAUGUCCCCAAGGACCAGACUGGCAAGGAGAUUGAGACCACCGGAGCACCUCAGUCCUGAGGUGGUGGUCAGGCAGGGUAGGCCUGCAGCGGGCGCAUCCAGCACAUCCGGGAGAAGGAUAGGAGGUGCGGCUUUAAUGCAGUGGAGCAACGGGAUCCAGAGAAGCAGCGGGCAGGGGACUCUGCUCCCGUAGGAGGAUGACGGCGGUCACGUGAUCGAUGUGAUGCGGCCAGCUGGGCCUGAAGCAGAGGAGGCGAUGGAAGCGGCAUCGGCUGCAACAGCAGGCUCCCUCGCUCUCAUUCUCUCCUCUACAUGGUCCUCCCUCCCUCUAUCCAUGAGGACCAUCUGUCCUAUCUGAACUUCUCUCUUUUCACUCUAAAGUACCUGGCUGUCCAGUCCCAAAAAGAUGAGCAUAAGGAAGAACAGGCACGACCAAAGGGGGGACACAGGCAUCAUGGUCACUGCUUUUGGAUAUGCAAUAAAAGCCAGGCCAGGACCUAUAAAACAGGAUUCCACAAUGAGGUCUAGAAAAAUCCAUGUACAUAUGAAGAAGAAGAUAGAGGGGGUUGAAUUUCAGAAGUCAUAAUUGUGUUGUUACCAUGGAUGAAGAAUUCAGAAGAAACAGCAGAACCAUACUCAAUUAGCAUAAAGUGUGAGUGUGACAUCACAUUCUACAGGACUUCAAUACAUUGAUUUAAAAAAAAAAAAAACUGAGUUAAAUGAAGUUUCUGAGUAUUGAUGUUGUUGACAUACUUCCUCCCUUGUGAUCAUCUACAUAUUUGGUAUAUUUGUACGCACUAUACCCUGCGGGGCAAAUGUCUGUUGAUAAUAGCAACUAAGACGCCAAUAUAUUUGGGAGGGUACAUACACACAGAUCCCUCAACCUUUUCAUAAUAAUAAUAAUUUUAACACUCAA